rnacentral:rRNA from 1 species
ACGGAGGGUGCGAGCGUUGUUCGGAAUCACUGGGCGUAAAGGGCGUGUAGGCGGUCCGUUAAGUCUGAUGUGAAAGCCCGGGGCUCACCCCCGGAAGUGCAUUGGAAACUGGCGGACUCGAGUCCCGGAGAGGAGGGUGGAAUUCCUGGUGUAGCGGUGAAAUGCGUAGAUAUCGGAAGGAACAUCAGUGGCGAAAGCGACUUCCUGGACCAGUACCGACGUUCAGGCACGAAAGCGUGGGGAGCAAACAGGA